rnacentral:lncRNA from 1 species
GGUGAAGGCCACGGAACGAUUAAUCCAUCGGAGGAUUAAGGCGUGUGAAUGUGCUGUUUAUAUUCUAAGGUAAUUGAUUAAUGCCGUUUUGUUAUUAGUUGUCGAAAAUAGCUUCAAUUAGUGUUGAUUUCACACAAUUGAUCUAUUUGGUUUGAUAAAAUCUUAGUUAUUUAUUCAUGUGAUUUAUUGAUUUAGGUACUAGAAUACACGAUUUUUUAUCCUACAUCGGAUUUUGACCAAGUGUGUAAUGAAAACUCGAGAAAUCAAUGAACGACUUAAAGUCAAAAUUGAGACUGUCGAUGCCACACAGUUGUGUUCCAGGCUAUGUGCGACACAUGACUGUGUACCAAACCAUGUGAGUUAUACGGUCUUGGCCAAUUGGGUUGUGUGGUCCUCACGAGCGUAUGGGCCACACAGGCGUAUGUGAGACUGUGUGUCAGGUCGUGUGGGCCCAAAUUUUGAAAAUUUUCCCUAA